UACGAAGGGGGCUAGCGUUGCUCGGAAUCACUGGGCGUAAAGCGCACGUAGGCGGCUUGCUAAGUCGGGGGUGAAAUCCUGGAGCUCAACUCCAGAACUGCCUUCGAUACUGGCGAGCUCGAGUUCGGGAGAGGUGAGUGGAACUGCGAGUGUAGAGGUGAAAUUCGUAGAUAUUCGCAAGAACACCAGUGGCGAAGGCGGCUCACUGGCCCGGAUACUGACGCUGGAGGCACGAAAGCGUGGGGAGCAAACAGG
rnacentral:rRNA from 1 species